CUCUCUUAGGGUGUGGGUGUCAUUAGGGCCUCAGAGGUAGACUCAUAAGAAACCAAAUACAAAUGAGACUUGGAGUGUAAACCAGAAUGGCAGGGAAUUCAUCAACAUCAGUCUUGUAACUGUGCCAUGGUCUGGUGGUCUGAAUCCCAGGGAUGCGUCCAUUCUGCCCUUGUGGUCAAGCUGCCGUGGAAGCUAAGUGGUAAUCAGAAAACCUCUGCUGAUUUUGUCUGAGGCAGCACUGCCAGAGCGCUAGAUCAGUCAAAUGUUAAAUAGUUUAAGACUAAAAUAAUCUGACAUAUUUUCAAGAUAGAGAUGCUCUCAUGGAUAGGAUCAAAAAUGCUCCUAAUCCAUUGGCCACAGCACCUCACAUUCAUCUCCCCACUUGGAACAGCCUUGGAAGUGGGUCUAGCAAGACCAAGUGCGAUGGCGUGAGCCCCGCUCCCCCCAAUCCAGGUGCUCAGAGAGGCACAGUCAGUGCUUAUCUUUGUAUUUCUCAUUUUCUCAUCUUCUUUUGCUGUGUGAUCUCUCUCCUGACAGAAGCAUCCUUCCUUUCACCACAUUGAACACAAAGAGUCUACCCUUGGGUCUUAUUAACCUGGAAACUAGAAACUUGGCUUGUCUAUGCUGCAUUCAGCUCUGACACGGACUAGCAAGGAAAUUGCACAACCUCUGGCUCCUAGUCACUGGGGGACCUCAAGGAAUGCCCAGGCACCACCUAACAGCCACCGUCCACUCUGACAUCCAGUGAUCCUAAUGCCAGACAUUUCUCCAGGCAGUGAAAGGAAGGGUCUUGGAGCUUCUGGUGCCCAAAGCAUUAAACUUUUGUGCAUAGAGACUCACAUCUAGGGGAUCCUGAAUGGGUUUCAUAAACCAUUCACCUGAGGCUUCUACUUUAUAAAUACUGAGACAUAAAAUAGAAGGUUUUAUUGAGUUACACAGCUACAUCACACGGAUUAUUCUUGGAGGUGGUUGGUGAGAAGGGAGGCAAUUUGCCUUGGGAGUCUCUACAGUCUAUUUAGAAACAGCAGCACAGACAUCCUAUGAUCAUCUCCCCCCUGCUAGCUUGAAAUGUCUGCCCUGUGGGAAGCUGAUGUGUGUUCCUGCUAUUGCUGGAAGCAGCCCCUCUACAUUCAUAUCCUUCAGAGUACUUUAUUCACUAUAUAUCCUAUGUAAACUGGUGGAUUCGACAAGGAGGAGUUGUUGAAGGCAGACUACUGGGAAAGGGCCGUGUUGGAUGGAAUUUGGCACCAAUCUUUCAUACUUGACAGCUCAAGUACAAGAUUGUGGAUGAGCUAUAGGACCUAUGAGCCUCCUCCAUCAGCAGGCGCAGGCCCUAAGUCACAUGUAAUUCAGAAAGCCAUGACAGCCCUGUAUAAAAUGGGAGCAGUAAAAUGGAGAGAUAGGAGAUGUGUGCAAGAGUAGGCCAUUUAAGUUAUUUCCUUUUACUGGAAUUUUCAAAAAUAUGAACCAGGACAGUAUACACCACAAGGAGAUCUGCCUUAGCAAUUUAAAGAAAAUAAUGCAAACUUUAAGCCAGAGUGACAUGAUUCUUAAUAACUGAAAGCUAAGAGGAGAAGCAGUGGAAAGUUAGAAGCUGUCUAAAAUUCUUUGUCUUUUAGCCUAAAUUAUACAUAUCUGUAUUUCUCUGUGUACACAAAACCACCUAAAAUAAAGAGAAAAGCAAAGAAUUGAAGCAGUUUUGUAUUGUGCAUAGAACACAGGAUUUGUAAACUCUACCUGAGGCUUAGCUUUGACACUCUAUCUGCCUCAGAUAUUUAACCUCCUCAAGCCCCAUCUUUAAUUCUAAUAUGGCUUAAUUAGUACUUUACCUGUUGUAUGAAUAAUCUUUCACCACAAUAAUUCUUUGUAGUAAUCAUGCAUGACUCAGUGGCGUUGCAGUGGGUUCUGGAGGGUUGAGCUGAUAUUGUCUGGGUUUGCUCAAGUUUUUGCCAGACUAAUGUCUGGCUGUCUCAUGUGUUUGGGGAUUGGCUGGAGCUUGGAUGAUUCCAAAUGAUCUCAACCAAGAUUACUGGAGCAACUCAACUCUAUCCCAUUGUAUCUCAUGCUCUAGGACAAGGCUCUGCAAACUAUGGCUCAUGGACCAAAUCCAGACCAUGGGCUGUUUUAUAAAUAGUGUUUGUUUUACUGGAACACAGUUGUGCUUAUUUACUUUCAUAUUUUCUAUGGCUAUUCUCAUGUCACACUUCGGAGUUGAGUAGUUGCAAUAGAGACCAUGUGGCCCACACACCAAAAAUAGUUACUACCUGCUCUU